rnacentral:rRNA from 1 species
AGUAAAGGAAGAGCACAAGGCGGAUGCCUUGGCAGCAUAAGGCGAUGAAGGACGUGGUAACCUGCGAUAAGCCUCGGGAAGUUGGUAAACAAAUUUUGAUCCGAGGAUUUCCGAAUGGGAAAACCCAAUAUACAUAAGUAUAUUAUCUUGUACUGAAUACAUAGGUACAUGAAGCAAACCUAGGGAACUGAAACAUCUAAGUACCUAGAGGAAAAGAAAUCAAUUGAGAUUCCGGCAGUAGCGGCGAGCGAAAUCGGAAAAGCCCUUAAGCUUAUUUUAGUCCAGCAAAAUAUUCUGGAAAGUUUAGCCAUAGUAGGUGAUAGCCCUGUAUGUGAAAGACUAAUUUAAGUGAAAUCGAGUAGGUCGGGACACGUGAAAUCUUGACUGAACAUGGGGGGACCAUCCUCCAAGGCUAAAUACUCUAUGCUGACCGAUAGUGAACCAGUACCGUGAGGGAAAGGUGAAAAGUACCCCGACAAGGGGAGUGAAACAGUUUCUGAAACCGGACGCCUACAAACAGUCGGAGCCUCCUUGAGAGGUGACGGCGUACCUUUUGUAUAAUGGGUCAACGACUUGGUCUGGCUAGCAAGCUUAAGCCGUUAGGUGUAGGCGUAGCGAAAGCAAGUCUUAAUAGGGCGAUUAAGUUAGUCGGAUCAGACCCGAAACCGAGUGAUCUAGGCAUGUCCAGGAUGAAGGUGCGGUAACACGCACUGGAGGUCCGAACCCACACCUGUUGAAAAAGGUCGGGAUGAGUUGUGCCUAGGGGUGAAAGGCCAAUCAAACUCGGAGAUAGCUGGUUCUCCGCGAAAUCUAUUUAGGUAGAGCGUCAUCCGAAUACCCCGGGGGGUAGAGCACUGGAUGGGUAAUGGGGCCCCACAGGCUUACUGAUCCUAACCAAACUCCGAAUACCCGGGAGUACUAGAUGGCAGACACACUGCGGGUGCUAACGCCCGUAGUGGAGAGGGAAACAACCCUGACCUCCAGCUAAGGCCCCUAAUUCAUGGCUAAGUGGGAAAGCAGGUGAGACGGCCAAAACAACCAGGAGGUUGGCUUAGAAGCAGCCAUCCUUUAAAGAUAGCGUAACAGCUCACUGGUCUAAAUAAGCCGGUCUGCGCCGAAGAUGUAACGGGGCUAAAGCCAUAUACCGAAGCUGUGGAUGCCGUAAGGCAUGGUAGCGGAGCGUUCUGUAAAUCGUUGAAGGUAACACGUGAGUGUUGCUGGAGAUAUCAGAAGUGAGAAUGCUGACAUGAGUAGCGAUAAAGAGUGUGAGAAACACUCUCGCCGGAAGCCUAAGGGUUCCUGCGCAAGGUUAAUCCGCGCAGGGUUAGUCGGCCCCUAAGAUGAGGGCGAAAGCCGUAGUCGAUGGGAAUACGGUAAAUAUUCCGUAACCUGAUGGAAGUGACGAAUAGUAAAGAUUGUAAAUUCUUAUUGGAUUGAGUUUGCAGUUGAGCUGUUCCAGGAAAUAGCUCCAUCACUAAGACCGUACCCGAAACCGACACAGGUAGGCAGGUAGAGAAUACCAAGGCGCUUGAGAGAAUGGUGUUGAAGGAACUCGGCAAAAUGCCCCUGUAACUUAGGGAGAAGGGGGACCUAUGCUGGGCAACCAGUGCUAGGUGGCACAAAAUUGGGGGUAGCGACUGUUUAUUAAAAACACAGGGCUCUGCUAACACGUAAGUGGAUGUAUAGGGUCUGACGCCUGCCCGGUGCUGGAAGGUUAAUGCGAUGGGUGCAAGCUCAUUUCUGAAGCCCCAGUAAACGGCGGCCGUAACUAUAACGGUCCUAAGGUAGCGAAAUUCCUUGUCGGGUAAGUUCCGACCUGCACGAAUGGCGUAACGACUUCCCCACUGUCUCCAAUACAGACUCAGCGAAAUUGAAUUCCCCGUGAAGAUGCGGGGUACCCGCGGUCAGACGGAAAGACCCCGUGCACCUUUACUAUAGCUUCACAUUGGCAUUAGAUUAGUCAUGUGCAGGAUAGGUGGUAGGCUUUGAAGCAGGAACGCUAGUUUUUGUGGAGCCACCCUUGAGAUACCACUCUUGUCUGAUUUGAUGUCUAACCGCGAUCCGUUAUCCGGAUCCGGGACCGUGUGUGGUGGGUAGUUUGACUGGGGCGGUCGCCUCCUAAAAGGUAACGGAGGCGCGCAAUGGUGGGCUCAGGUUGGUCGGAAAUCAACCGUAGAGUGCAAUGGCAGAAGCCCGCUUGACUGCGAGACUGACAAGUCGAGCAGAGACGAAAGUCGGCCAUAGUGAUCCGGUGGUCCCGCGUGGAAGGGCCAUCGCUCAACGGAUAAAAGGUACGCCGGGGAUAACAGGCUGAU